rfam:Gallus gallus isolate RJF #256 breed Red Jungle fowl, inbred line TCD001 chromosome 1, whole genome shotgun sequence.
UAGCGCUAACGCAAUUAGUGGAAAAAGAAUUACAGUUAGGACAUAUAGAACCUUCACUUAGUUGUUGGAACACACCUGUCUUUGUGAUCCGGAAGGCUUCCGGGUCUUAUCGCUUAUUGCAUGACUUGCGCGCUGUUAACGCCAAGCUUGUUCCUUUUGGGGCCGUCCAACAGGGGGCGCCAGUUCUCUCCGCGCUCCCGCGUGGCUGGCCCCUGAUGGUCCUAGACCUCAAGGAUUGCUUCUUUUCUAUUCCUCUUGCGGAACAAGAUCGCGAAGCUUUUGCAUUUAC